rnacentral:tRNA from 1 species
GGUUCAGUAGCUCAGUUGGUAGAGCAGCGGACUGAAAAUCCGCGUGUCGCUGGUUCAACUCCGGCCUGGACCACCA